UCUGACACUACACUUACAAAAAAAACUCAUCAUCACUCUCGAAACUCUUUCAGAGAAACUCUCACUCUCAUUUCUUCGAAUCGCGAUGACUCUGUCCGGCCAAACCUCCAAAUCUCGUCUUUCAAGUCUUCUUUACUGUCUCUAGUCACCUUCCCCUUUUCUCUAUGUCUUUUGGAAGAAAACAAUUAGACCUAACCCUCGUUUACUCUCCCUCUCACUCAAUUAUUUCAUCUUCUCAAUCUUUUGCUCAAAAACAUUGAAGGAAACCACAUAUACUCAUCGAAAUCACUUGCUUUUUGGUCACCAAUUCCACAAAUUGGAAACCAUGCUUCUCCUCCGACGAAAUCCUCAAGGGGAUUUGAGGAACCGAAAUCGACAAGGGGAUUGAUGAUGGAAGGAAGAAGAAUCAUAGCAAACCCUAGACCUUGUGGCGGUAGAAGUGUUGUCGCAAAGAAGAGGUCUCGUCCCGAUGGAUUCGUCAACAGCGGUAAAAAGCUUAACGCCGAGAAAUCUCGCCUCAUAUGGAUCGAGCUUUCUCAAUCAGCACCACUCAAGAGAGAUUCUGAGACAUGCGUCUCGUGGACGAUGUCAUGAUUAGAAUAUAUGCUAACUGGUGCUACUGAACCAAACCUGUUUGCAUUAUGUGAGAAAAAGAGGGAUGGUCACACCACUAAGCUUCACAGCUUUGGAGUGUCUUUGCAGCUUCAGUUGUCGAAGAUGAUGUUUGGCUUACAGAGAAAGCCACAGCCAAGCACACUCUUCGACAGAGCUCAUGAUGUACAACUUUAUUUCAGAGCGGAAGGUACUUGAAGAAAUGAGUUGCUCUGGGAACAUUAGUGGGAAUUACUUAGGCUUCAAUGAUGGAAUACAAAGCAAUUGAGAAUGUGCUACAAACCAUUUAUUAUGUAGCUGUUCAUCUAUUUUUUUUUUCUAAUUAUGUUUUUUGAGGAUGAAGUAUUCUUAUUUUUAAUUAU